rnacentral:rRNA from 1 species
UACAGAGGUCCCAAGCGUUGUUCGGAUUCACUGGGCGUAAAGGGUGCGUAGGCGGUCGGGUAAGUCUGAUGUGAAAUCUCCGAGCCUAACUCGGAAACUGCAUUGGAUACUAUUCGGCUUGAGAGUUGGAGGGGGGACUGGAAUUCUCGGUGUAGCAGUGAAAUGCGUAGAUAUCUGGAAGAACACCAGUGGCGAAGGCGGUCAACUGGCCCGUAACUGACGCUGAGGCACGAAAGCGUGGGGAGCGAACAGG